rnacentral:rRNA from 1 species
UUUGGUGACGAUAGCGAAGUGGAUACACCUGUUCCCAUCCCGAACACAGUAGUUAAGCACUUCAGCGCCGAUGAUAGUUCUCACGAGCGAAAGUAGGACGUUGCCAAGC